rnacentral:lncRNA from 1 species
GAAUAUUCACAAAAUCAGGCUGCAAGUGAUCCAUUGGAUCUGCAAUAACAAAAUCCAUAAACCUAGCUUUAUUAGCCAGGUAAUCAAUUCUAAGGUUGACUUUAAUCAAAUAGUUGGAAAGCAUAAGAAAAAAGAGGAGAAGAGGAAGUGAGGAAGAAGGACAAAAUAUUGUAUCAAUAAAAGUGGUAUAUGAUGGCUUAAGAUUGGAUUUGAUUUUGUUAUAGAAGAAGC